GUCAGAAUGGCCAAGGGGUCUAAGGUGCCAGGCUCAAGAUUCUCUCCUUUCCUGAAUGAUGGGUGUUCUGGUUUCCUCAUGCAGGUGUGGGUUCAAAUCCUACUUCUGACA
rnacentral:tRNA from 1 species